rnacentral:rRNA from 1 species
GACAGAGGGUGCAAACGUUGUUCGGAAUUAUUGGGCGUAAAGAGCUCGUAGGCGGUUCGGUAAGUCGGGUGUGAAACCUCCAGGCUCAACCUGGAGUCGCCACUCGAUACUGCUGUGACUAGAGUCCGGUAGGGGAGCGUGGAAUUCCUGGUGUAGCGGUGAAAUGCGCAGAUAUCAGGAGGAACACCAGCGGCGAAGGCGGCGCUCUGGGCCGGAACUGACGCUGAGGAGCGAAAGCGUGGGUAGCAAACAGG